AAUUUGUUUCCUCUUACCCCACGUUCUAAGCAACUCUUCCCUCAAAAGUCAGAGCUUCAUCCAAGGUAAAAUUCCCAGCUGAAAAUUAUCUUCUCUGGCAGCUGAAACUUCAGGAACAGCCUCACCUAGCGAUGGUUCGCUAUAUUGAUUGAGGAAAGGACAGGAUCGAACACCCAAACUUCCGUAUUUUGACUGGGUUGGGUAUGUUUGAUAUGGUUCUUACUCUUAGCUAAUGAAUUUCUACUUACCUCUUUGAUGUUACUUAUGACAAUUUAUUAUGCAUAAUACUAUGAGCCAGACUUGAAUUCUCUCAAAAAUUUACUAGACACUCUUUCUACUCUGUCUUAGUUUGCUGCUAAAUUUGUUCAUUACACUAAUCUAAUUUUUGAGAAAACAAGAAGUAAAAAUAACAACAGGUAUAAAGAUGAGGAGAGCAUCCAGGCAGAAGAAGCAACAACACAUCUUACUCUCCUCAACUAAGGCAAAACAUACUGAUGGAUGAUGCAAUUGGUACUGAUGGAAAACAGGUUAAAAAAAAUAACAACAGAUUCUACAGUAAAAUUGACUGCACAAAUUGAAAUGGUAAGAUCUUCUGGUUAUGCUCCUUGCUUAGGUGUUCAUAGCUCUUACAUUUCCUUGGUUAUCUCAAAUAAUUCCUUUUGCACUCACUCGUCAUUCCUCUUGCCUCAGUUCUAACUAUUUGUCCUGUUAUUGUUUUGAUCACUGACGUGCAGUCUUCACAUCUAACGGUUGCUCCGCAAUAGUGGAAAACAUGGACAAGUCUGAUUACCACACAAUAUAUUCUAUUAUUAUACUUAAAAUAUUCUGUACAAAAUGGACAGCACGAACAACUCAGUCAAACUUCUUAAUAAAUUAACGGUAAUUAUUAAUUCGAUUUAGAUUUAAUUAACGAAGAAAAUAGUGCUGAUAGCAAAUGAGAUGUCCAGUAAUAUAUUCCAAUUUACUUAAUGGAUUAAGUUGUAUAUUAGAAAAGAUUCCAUACAUUUAGAGACAACGUAAUGAAGCAGGUUUAGUGCUAUUUUCACUGUUAAUCAAUAUAGAAAGACAGAACUGUGUAAGGGGUUUGUUGGUUAGAAAUAUGAUGUUGAUUAUCUUAUGUGGAUAGCCCUUUGGUUUAAA